rnacentral:rRNA from 1 species
AACGAACGCUGGCGGCAGGCCUAACACAUGCAGGUCGAGCGAACCCUUCGGGGUUAGCGGCGGACGGGUGAGUAACGCGUGGGAACGUGCCCUUUGCUACGGAAUAGCCCCGGGAAACUGGGAGUAAUACCGUAUGUGCCCUUCGGGGGAAAGAUUUAUCGGCAAAGGAUCGGCCCGCGUUGGAUUAGGUAGUUGGUGGGGUAAUGGCCUACCAAGCCGACGAUCCAUAGCUGGUUUGAGAGGAUGAUCAGCCACACUGGGACUGAGACACGGCCCAGACUCCUACGGGAGGCAGCAGUGGGGAAUCUUAGACAAUGGGCGCAAGCCUGAUCUAGCCAUGCCGCGUGAUCGAUGAAGGCCUUAGGGUUGUAAAGAUCUUUCAGUGGGGAAGAUAAUGACUGUACCCACAGAAGAAGCCCCGGCUAACUCCGUG